rnacentral:rRNA from 1 species
CCUACGGGGGCAGCAGUAGGGAAUCUUCCACAAUGGGCGAAAGCCUGAUUGAGCAACGCCGCGUGGGUGAAGAAGGUCUUCGGAUCGUAAAACCCUGUUGUUAGAGAAGAAAGUGCGUGAGAGUAACUGUUCACGUUUCGACGGUAUCUAACCAGAAAGCCACGGCUAACUAGGUGGCAGCAGCCGCGGUAAUACGUAGGUGGCAAGCGUUAUCCGGAUGUCUUGGGCGUAAAGGGAACGCAGGCGGUCUUUUAAGUCUGAUGUGAAAGCCUUCGGCUUAACCGGAGUAGUGCAUUGGAAACUGGGAGACUUGAGUGCAGAAGAGGAGAGUGGAACUCCAUGGGUAGCGGUGAAAUGCGUAGAUAUAUGGAAGAACACCAGUGGCGAAAGCGGCUCUCUGGUCUGUAACUGACGCUGAGGUUCGAAAGCGUGGGUAGCAAACAGGAUUAGAUACCCGAGUAGUC